rnacentral:rRNA from 1 species
AUGCUCUGUGUUGUGGUAGCCGCGCUGCUGCUCCUGCCGGCGCCGCCGUCGGCCGGCGCCGAGGCGGAAGCAGCUACGGGCCGGAGGAGUAACUGCACCACCCACUGCGGCAACAUCAGCAUCCCGUAUCCGUUCGGGGUGGAGCCUGGCUGCUACCACAAGAGCGGCUUCAACCUCACCUGCAACCAGUCCUACAGCCCGCCCCAGCUCUUCCUCGGCGACGGCACCGUUCAGGUGCUCGACAUCGAUCUGCCCAACGGCACGGUACGUAUCAACAGCAAGCCAUUGGAAAUCCCCUAUGGCGACAAUGGAAAAGUAAGCCGCCGCACAUGGCGCGCCGGCGGCCUGGGAUACGCUGCCGACGGGCCAUACUUUGUAGCGGGAGCAGGGCGGAACAACUUAGUAGCACUCGGGUGCAACUUCCAAGUCGUCCUCUUGGGAGAGAACAACAACCUUGUCAGCUCUUGCUCUCCUUUCUGCCCGGGCACAGGUUACAAGGAUACAGAUACCUGCUCCGGCAUCACCUGCUGCCAGGCAACCAUACUGGAGGGUCGCGCUUCCUACGGACUCCUCGUUCAACGGGUUGGUUUCGAUAUCAACGAAUGUGAUUAUCCAAACAUCUAUCCAUGUUACGGCAAUUGCAGAAACACACACGGAGGAUAUGAUUGCCAGUGCCCUCCUGGCUUCAUGGGCGAUGUUUUUACACCAAAUGGAUGUGAAGGUUUGGGAGUAGGUCUUGUGGCUAGUGGCAGCUCAAUCAUUUUACUUUUAGUGCUCGCUGCCCCGUUUAUAGCACGCAAAAUGAAGUUAAAUAGGGCAAACAAUCUGAAAAGAAGAUUAUUCAAGCAAAAUCAUGGGUUGCUGUUGCAACAACUAAUAUCCCAGAAAACAGAUUUUGGUGAAAGGAUGAUCAUUCCUUUGUUGGAUCUAGAGAAGGCCACAAACAAUUUUGAUAGAACUCGUGAAGCCGGUGGUGGAGGCCACGGUGUUGUGUAUAAAGGAAUUUUAGACCUACAGGUUGUCGCCAUCAAGAAAUCCAAGAUCGUUGUACAGAGAGAAAUCCAUGACUUCAUAAACGAGGUUGCAAUUCUUUCUCAAAUCAACCAUAGAAAUGUCGUGAAGCUAAUCGGAUGUUGUCUUGAGACAGAAGUCCCAUUACUAGUUUAUGAGUUCAUUUCGAAUGGUACUCUUGAUCAACAUCUUCAUGUUGAAGGCCCAAUAUCACUGUCAUGGGAUGAUCGAAUAAGGAUCGCGCUUGAUGUUUCUAGAGCUCUAUCUUAUCUUCAUUCAGCUGCAUCAAUGCCUAUUUAUCACCGGGAUAUUAAAUCAUCCAACAUUCUUCUUGAUGAUAAUUUAACAGCAAAGGUAUCCGAUUUUGGAGCUUCGAGGUACAUUCCAAUUGACAAAACAGGGGUGACUACAGCUGUGCAAGGAACAAUAGGUUACUUACACCCUAUGUACGUAUUAUACUGGUUGCCUAACAGAAAAGAGUGAUGUUUUCAGUUUUGGUGUUUUGCUUGUAGAACUCCUAACUAGAAAAAAACCAUGCCUCUACCUUAGUGGUGGCAACGAUGGUGUUGGUCUCGUUUCACAUUUUGUUUCACUACUCGCAGAAGGUAACCUUGAUGAGAUAAUAGAUCCUCAACUCAUAGAAGAGGAAAAUGGGGAAGUCCAGGAGGUAGCUACGCUAGCAGCGAUGUGCAUUAAAUUGAAGGGAGAAGAGCAGCCUACAAUGAGGGAGGCAGAGAUGAAACUUGAAAUCCUGAGAGUUAACAUGCGUGUGGCACCUGAUACUGCUGCACCAAGGAGAUAUGAUGGAGGUCAAGAUGGAUCUCUAUGGAUGCCAGCUGAAGGAGUUGUUGUGGAAGCAAGCAGGCAAUACACUAUGGAGGAAGAAAUAUUAUCGUCUGCAAGUUAUCCUCGAUGA